GUCCUUCUAGUGACAAAGCAAUGGAGCAUUAUCAUGUCACCUACAUCUCCAGUCUUCCGUGAACCCUCACCUAAGAUAGACCUUCAGAAUUAGGAUUAACUUUUUAGCAUUUUAAUAGUCUCUCUUGUUCUAGUUUUCAAGAGAAAAUGCUUUUUCUGGGCUGAUUUUCUGGUAAAUAUUGUAAAAUUUCAGUAACUUAGAGAUUCUAAAGCACAGAAUUUUAUUUUACAGGUGUUUCUAGCUCUAAGUUCACAACUGUAGAAAUGGAUUUUGCCACACUAGAGCAUUCUCAUCCUCUACACUAAAAGCAUGACUAGUGCAGGGCAGACAUCAAGUAAAAUCACUGUAGUUCAAUGGAAAAUGAACUCAGUCAGAAUCUAUCAAAGUCAACAAAUUCAUUGGUUUUUUUCCCCCUUAAAAGUAGACUUGUAGCCGGGCAUGGUGGCACACGCCUUUAAUCCCAGCACUCGGGAGGCAGAGGCAGGCGGAUUUCUGAGUUCGAGGCCACCUGGUCUACAAAGUGAGCUCCAGGACAGCCAGGGCUAUACAGAGAAACCCUGUCUCGAAAAACCAAAAAAAAAAAAAAAAAAAAAAAAAAAAAGUAGACUUGUAGAUAUCUGGGUCAAUGCAGAGUGUUCCCUUUCUAGACUGGCAUGGUUAUUCUGACUCGUGUCAGUUAUACAGCUGUCUGUCUGAAAGUGGCUUAUCCUCUCAAAUAUAGAGAGCCUUACAUAGGAGGUAUAAGUGAGUAUGUGUAGCACACGAUACUUUCAUUCACACCAUCUAUCUAUUGACAGCAUCAGUGGUAUGAGGAAGACUAGUAGCUGGGGUCCUAAAUUAGAACACUUUUGUUUUGGGACAGGGUUUCUCCAUAGUUAGUUCUGGCUGUCUUGGAACUCACUCUGUAGACCAGGCUGACCUUGAACUCAGAGGUUCACCUGUCUCUGCUUUGAUCUCUGAGUGCUGGGAUUAAAGGUGAGCACCACCACAGCCUGGCUAAAGCAUCUUUGUUCUCACUAAAGAUGGUUUACGUUGAAGACAACAAGGGUCCCUGGAUUGGGUGAUAACAUAAACUCUUGGGCAAAAGAGUUCUUUUCUUAGCUAUUUCUCAGUGGUAAUUUUCUAGAAACAUGUAUAUGUGUAUUGCUUGAAUGGGUGCUCACAGUUCUUUUGGGCAACUGUAGAGAAAUUAUGUUCUGCAUGGUAGGAAUAAAAUGUUGGUCAUUCUUUU
rnacentral:lncRNA from 1 species